CUCUCUGUGAAAUGAGAGCGACUAGAUGUUUGGCUGCAGCCUGUUUUUAGUCGCAGAUUAGGAAGCGAUUAUUCACGACAAUUGCCGGGUUCCAUGUGAGUGAGAGCCCGGGGGGGGUGAAGCUGGGGCUCGGAGACUUCAUCUUCUACAGCAUGCUGGUGGGCAAGGCCUCGGCCACAGCCAGCGGCGACUGGAACACCACGCUCGCCUGCUUCGUGGCCAUCCUCAUCGGCUUUGUUGUUGCUCGCCUGUGCCCCCGCAGGGCUU